AAAUUCUCUUUCAGACUUUCUCCCCACCCCACUUUUUCUUUCACUUUCAAUCUCUUGCUCUUUCUCUGUCUCUUUCUCUCUCUCUGGUAAAAUAGUCAAAUUCUUCUGAAGAUAUCCUUGCUCCGUUCAUCCCACUUUGUAUGCAAAUAUGGGAUGCUUCGACGGUUUGGAAAUGCAAAUAGAUAGUUGUGCAUCUUGUGGUGCCUAGAGCAAAUAUGUGAAUAAUCAACACUUCCUUCUGUUUUCCCUCAAGGUUUUCGCAUGAAUCUAUUCAUUAUCUUCCUCUUCCACACAGGAUCUGUCUUCCCUCUGUAUAGUUAUGAAAUCUCCUAUUUUUGGUAAUUUUGCUUUUUCUUUUUAUUCUUUAAAUAACUUCUGAAGGAAGGAAGAAUGAUACAUAUGUUGUACAUGAAUAUAUAUACUUUGUAUAAUCAUGUAUAACCAUGUUUAUUUGUGGGUAUUCUCAUAGUUAUACAAAAUUAUAUAUGAUUAUACAUAAGUAUACAAGAUUAUACAUAAUUAUAUAUGAUUAUAUUUGUGUGUUAACAAUGUAUAUAAGGUGUUUAAUAAUGUAAUUUUUUAUUUUUUCCAGUAAACUAAGAAUUUCCCUUGCAAAACUUUAAAUUUUGCAAAAAACAUAUUUAAAAAAAUUAUAGACUCUAAGGAUGAAUAUAAUUUUAUUUUUUACUUCAACUUCUUGAUAUUGUUUACUAUACAAAAAGAAGUAAAAAAUAAAUAAGAAUGAAAAAUAAAAAAAAGGGGUAAAGAUAACAAUGAAAGAAAAAAGUGGAAUCUGAUUUAGGCAUGAUUUUGAGUGUAGUUCAUGAAGUUGUGAGUUAGGUGCUGAAAUUAUUUGUGAGCUACCGCAUGAAAAUUGUAUUUGUGAGUUAGGCGGCUGAAAAGUGCUUUCCCCAAGUGUACUUAUGUGAAAUUAUCCCUUAGCUUUAUUGUAAAAAUUGUAAAAGUCUUAUAUGUACAUCUAUUGAUGGUUGAUAAUGUGAAUUUUUUGACAGCGGAAUAUACUUUAUGAAAAAGAAUUUAGUCACAGAAAUUGAUAUAUUACUUUUUGGUCCUUCUAUAAUAGACUCACUUAGUGAUUCUAGGUUAAAGGGAAGGACUAAACUCACUCCGCGGGAAUUAGCUUUUCGAUUUGCUUCAGAUUUUAUAUUCAUUCCCCCUCCCCUUCCUGAAUUUCGUGUUAUUGUCUGCUAUGCUAGCCUAUGAUAAAGGCCUAUCAUUUAUGCUUUGUAAGGAUAUCCUAUGGUAUGGGCUAUUAUCUCAAGGGCUUGAUUAGGUUCUUCUUGUUAUAGUAUCCUUGCUCGGAAGCUAAAAUAAAUAGAAUUCUCUUUUUUUUUGUUAGGAGUGCCUGAAGAGACCUGCUUGCUGAAAGGUACCAUUCUAAAGUGAAAAGACUCUCUUUUUCUUACAUAAACAGUGGGUGUUCCCACAUAUUUUCGUCUUCUUCAAGAAUGCUCCAAAUAGAGGUGAUAUAUACUGUUUGAAGUUAUUAUUUAUUAUUUGUUAAAAAAUCAAAUUAUUCAGUUGUAUAGUAAAGUAUUUGGGAAAUUUGUUCUAUUAAUCCCUUGGUUAUUGAUAAUUUUUAAUUUAAUCUUUGUGAUGUUUGAUUGGAUAUAUUUAGCCUUCAAUUAUACUAAUUUAUAUACAAAAUAGACUUUCAUUUUGUAUGAUAGGUGGCACAAUUCUUGCAAAGUACUAUCACACCUUUGUCCCCAUAACGUGCCAUCGGCCAAUUGGUUGCGCCAAAACCUCGUUAAUCUUCAACUUUACAUGUGCGG
rnacentral:lncRNA from 1 species